AGGAUGAACGCUAGCGGCAGGCCUAAUACAUGCAAGUCGAACGGUUUGUAGCAAUACAGAUAGUGGCGCACGGGUGCGUAACACGUAACUAACCUACCUAUAACUGGGGGAUAGCCCGCCGAAAGGCGGAUUAAUACCGCAUAAGCUUGUGAAGUGGCAUCACUUUAUUAGUAAAGAUUUAUUGGUUAUAGAUGGGGUUGCGGGUCAUUAGCUAGUUGGUUGGGUAAUGGCUGACCAAGGCGACGAUGACUA
rnacentral:rRNA from 1 species